GAUGAACGCUAGCUACAGGCUUAACACAUGCAAGUCGAGGGGAAACGAUAUUGGAAGCUUGCUUCUGAUAGGCGUCGACCGGCGCACGGGUGAGUAACGCGUAUCCAACCUGCCCAUCACUUGGGGAUAACCUUGCGAAAGUAAGACUAAUACCCAAUGACGUCUCUAGAAGACAUCUGAAAGAGAUUAAAGAUUUAUCGGUGAUGGAUGGGGAUGCGUUCCAUUAGGCAGUUGGUGAGGUAACGGCUCACCAAACCUUCGAUGGAUAGGGGUUCUGAGAGGAAGGUCCCCCACAUUGGAACUGAGACACGGUCCAAACUCCUACGGGAGGCAGCAGUGAGGAAUAUUGGUCAAUGGACGAGAGUCUGAACCAGCCAAGUAGCGUGCAGGAUGACGGCCCUAUGGGUUGUAAACUGCUUUAUAAGGGAAUAAAGUGGGAGUCGUGACUCUUUUGCAUGUACCUUAUGAAUAAGGACCGGCUAAUUCCGUGCC
rnacentral:rRNA from 1 species